rnacentral:rRNA from 1 species
UUAGGCGCAGCCUUCCAUGCAGUCGAACGGUAACAGGUCUUCGGAUGCUGACGAGUGGCGAACGGGUGAGUAAUACAUCGGAACGUGCCCGAUCGUGGGCCGGAUAAUCGGAGCGAAAGCUUGUGCUAAUACCGCAUACGAUCUACGGAUGAAAGCAGGGGACCGCAAGGCCUUGCGCGGACGGAGCGGCCGAUGGCAGAUUAGGUAGUUGGUGGGAUAAAAGCUUACCAUGCCGACGAUCUGUAGCUGGUCUGAGAGGACGACCAGCGACACUGGGACUGGAGACACGGCCCAGACUCCUACGGGAGGCAGCAGUGGGGAAUUGGACAAUGGGCGAAAAGCCUGAUCCAGCCAUGCCGCGUGCAGGAUGAAGGCCUUCGGGUUGUGAACUGCCCGAGUACGGAACGAAAGACUCCUUCUAAUAAAGGGGGUCCAUGACGGUACCGUAAGAAUAAGCACCGGCUAACUACGUGCCAGCAGCCGCGGUAAUACGUAGGGUGCGAGCGUUAAUCGGAAUUACGGGGCGUAAAGCGGGGCGCAGGCGGU